GUCGCAAGACCAAAGUGGGGGACCUUCGGGCCUCAUGCCAUCAGAUGUGCCCAGAUGGGAUUAGCUAGUAGGUGGGGUAAUGGCUCACCUAGGCGACGAUCCCUAGCUGGUCUGAGAGGAUGACCAGCCACACUGGAACUGAGACACGGUCCAGACUCCUACGGGAGGCAGCAGUGGGGAAUAUUGCACAAUGGGCGCAAGCCUGAUGCAGCCAUGCCGCGUGUAUGAAGAAGGCCUUCGGGUUGUAAAGUACUUUCAGCGAGGAGGAAGGCGUUAAGGUUAAUAACCUUAGCGAUUGACGUUACUCGCAGAAGAAGCACCGGCUAACUCCGUGCCAGCAGCCGCGGUAAUACGGAGGGUGCAAGCGUUAAUCGGAAUUACUGGGCGUAAAGCGCACGCAGGCGGUUUGUUAAGUCAGAUGUGAAAUCCCCGGGCUCAACCUGGGAACUGCAUUUGAAACUGGCAAGCUUGAGUCUUGUAGAGGGGGGUAGAAUUCCAGGUGUAGCGGUGAAAUGCGUAGAGAUCUGGAGGAAUACCGGUGGCGAAGGCGGCCCCCUGGACAAAGACUGACG
rnacentral:rRNA from 1 species